AGUGCAUGUGGUGGAUGCCUUGGCGAUCACAGGCGAUGAAGGACGCGGUAGCCUGCGAAAAGCUACGGGGAGCUGGCAAACGAGCUUUGAUCCGUAGAUGUCCGAAUGGGGAAACCCACUCCUUAUGGAGUAUCCAUGGCUGAAUACAUAGGCCAUGCGAAGCGAACGCGGUGAACUGAAACAUCUAAGUAACCGCAGGAAAAGAAAUCAACCGAGAUUCCCAAAGUAGUGGCGAGCGAAAUGGGAUGAGCCUUGCACUCUUUAUUUGUAUUGUUAGCCGAACGCUCUGGAAAGUGCGGCCAUAGCAGGUGAUAGCCCUGUAGGCGAAAACAGUAUGAAAGAACUAGGUGUGCGACAAGUAGGGCGGGACACGUGAAAUCCUGUCUGAAGAUGGGGGGACCAUCCUCCAAGGCUAAAUACUCGUGAUCGACCGAUAGUGAACCAGUACCGUGAGGGAAAGGCGAAAAGAACCCCGGGAGGGGAGUGAAAUAGAUCCUGAAACCGCAUGCAUACAAACAGUCGGAGCCUCUUUAUGGGGUGACGGCGUANNNNNNNNNNNNNNNNNNNNNACAAGUAGGGCGGGACACGUGAAAUCCUGUCUGAAGAUGGGGGGACCAUCCUCCAAGGCUAAAUACUCGUGAUCGACCGAUAGUGAACCAGUACCGUGAGGGAAAGGCGAAAAGAACCCCGGGAGGGGAGUGAAAUAGAUCCUGAAACCGCAUGCAUACAAACAGUCGGAGCCUCUUUAUGGGGUGACGGCGUACCUUUUGUAUAAUGGGUCAGCGACUUACGUUCAGUAGCAAGCUUAACCGUAUAGGGCAGGCGUAGCGAAAGCGAGUCCGAAUAGGGCGUUCAGUUGCUGGGCGUAGACCCGAAACCAGGUGAUCUAUCCAUGGCCAGGAUGAAGGUGCGGUAACACGUACUGGAGGUCCGAACCCACUAACGUUGAAAAGUUAGGGGAUGAGCUGUGGAUAGGGGUGAAAGGCUAAACAAACCUGGAAAUAGCUGGUUCUCUCCGAAAACUAUUUAGGUAGUGCCUCGUGUCUCACCUUCGGGGGUAGAGCACUGUCAUGGUUGGGGGGUCUAUUGCAGAUUACCCCGCCAUAGCAAACUCCGAAUACCGAAGAGUGCAAUCACGGGAGACAGACAUCGGGUGCUAACGUCCGGUGUCAAGAGGGAAACAACCCAGACCGCCAGCUAAGGUCCCCAAAUAUGGCUAAGUGGGAAACGAAGUGGGAAGGCUAAAACAGUCAGGAGGUUGGCUUAGAAGCAGCCACCCUUUAAAGAAAGCGUAAUAGCUCACUGAUCGAGUCGUCCUGCGCGGAAGAUGUAACGGGGCUAAGCCAUAUACCGAAGCUGCGGAUGCGAGCUAGUCUCGCAUGGUAGGAGAGCGUUCCGUAAGCCUGCGAAGGUGCCUUGUAAAGGGUGCUGGAGGUAUCGGAAGUGCGAAUGCUGACAUGAGUAGCGAUAAAGGGGGUGAAAGGCCCCCUCGCCGUAAGCCCAAGGUUUCCUACGCAACGUUCAUCGGCGUAGGGUGAGUCGGCCCCUAAGGCGAGGCAGAAAUGCGUAGCUGAUGGGAAGCAGGUCAAUAUUCCUGCACCGUCGUUAGAUGCGAUGGGGGGACGGAUCGCGGAAGGUUGUCCGGGUGUUGGAAGUCCCGGUCGCUGCAUUGGAGAAGGCGCUUAGGCAAAUCCGGGCGCAGGAUUCAAGGGUGUGGCGCGAGCUCCCUCGGGAGCGAAGCAAUUGGAAGUGGUUCCAAGAAAAGCCUCUAAGCUUCAGUCUAACGAUGACCGUACCGCAAACCGACACAGGUGGGCGAGAUGAGUAUUCUAAGGCGCUUGAGAGAACUCGGGAGAAGGAACUCGGCAAAUUGGUACCGUAACUUCGGGAUAAGGUACGCCCUUGUAGCUUGACCAGCCUGCGCUGGAAGGGUGAAGGGGUUGCAAUAAACUGGUGGCUGCGACUGUUUAAUAAAAACACAGCACUCUGCAAACACGAAAGUGGACGUAUAGGGUGUGACGCCUGCCCGGUGCCGGAAGAUUAAAUGAUGGGGUGCAAGCUCUUGAUUGAAGUCCCGGUAAACGGCGGCCGUAACUAUAACGGUCCUAAGGUAGCGAAAUUCCUUGUCGGGUAAGUUCCGACCUGCACGAAUGGCGUAACGAUGGCCACACUGUCUCCUCCCGAGACUCAGCGAAGUUGAAGUGUUUGUGAUGAUGCAAUCUACCCGCGGCUAGACGGAAAGACCCCAUGAACCUUUACUGUAGCUUUGCAUUGGACUUUGAACCGAUCUGUGUAGGAUAGGUGGGAGGCUAUGAAACCGGAACGCCAGUUUCGGUGGAGCCGUCCUUGAAAUACCACCCUGGUUUGUUUGAGGUUCUAACCUUGGCCCGUGAUCCGGGUCGGGGACAGUGCAUGGUAGGCAGUUUGACUGGGGCGGUCUCCUCCCAAAGCGUAACGGAGGAGUACGAAGGUACGCUAGGUACGGUCGGAAAUCGUGCUGAUAGUGCAAUGGCAUAAGCGUGCUUAACUGCGAGACCGACAAGUCGAGCAGGUGCGAAAGCAGGUCAUAGUGAUCCGGUGGUUCUGUAUGGAAGGGCCAUCGCUCAACGGAUAAAAGGUACUCUGGGGAUAACAGGCUGAUACCGCCCAAGAGUUCAUAUCGACGGCGGUGUUUGGCACCUCGAUGUCGGCUCAUCUCAUCCUGGGGCUGUAGCCGGUCCCAAGGGUAUGGCUGUUCGCCAUUUAAAGAGGUACGUGAGCUGGGUUUAAAACGUCGUGAGACAGUUUGGUCCCUAUCUGCCGUGGGCGUUGGAUAUUUGAAGGGGGCUGCUCCUAGUACGAGAGGACCGGAGUGGACGAACCUCUGGUGUACCGGUUGUGACGCCAGUCGCAUCGCCGGGUAGCUAUGUUCGGAAGAGAUAACCGCUGAAAGCAUCUAAGCGGGAAACUCGCCUUAAGAUGAGAUAUCCCUGGAGGCUUGACCUCCUUGAAGGGUCGUUCGAGACCAGGACGUUGAUAGGUCGGGUGUGUAAGCGCAGUAAUGCGUUCAGCUAACCGAUACUAAUUGCCCGUAAGGCUUGAUC
rnacentral:rRNA from 1 species